CAAAGAACAAGGCAGGGUGCCAAUUUCCACACUAUCAAGUACUACAAGGAAAUGUCUAAAAGGCUGGAGUGCAAUGAUGCAAUUUCAACUCACCACAAUGUCCACCUUCUGGGUUCAAGCGAUUCUCCUGCCUCAGCCUCCCCAGUAGCUGGGAUUACAGACUGAUUGAGUAGCUACCAUGUCACAGAUGAAGAUGACUGUGGCUUAUCCAGUUUUCAUAUCAGCAAGGCUGACACAGUUCUGCAGGACAGGGACAGUAUGUUUAGUUUACUCCACUUGCUAUUAGGUGCGUGCCACUGAGACUUACUUCAUGAGUGUUACUUGAUGAAUCAGGCAUUGAUAUUUAUUUCUUAAUUGUGUAUCCAAGAUUCCUAUUAAAUAGCCAAGAGCUUUGAA
rnacentral:lncRNA from 1 species